rnacentral:tRNA from 1 species
AGAGACUUAGGCUAAAUUAGACCAGCGGCCUUCAAAGCCGUUAGCGGAAGUUAGAAUCUUCCAGUCCCUG